UGGGGCCGGAGCACUGCCUGAGAGGGUUACGUAUCUCACAGUGAACCGGUCUCUUU
rnacentral:pre_miRNA from 1 species